rnacentral:misc_RNA from 1 species
GUGAUGUAGAAAGCCAUCAACCAUAAUUGACAAACAGAUAAAUUCAUGCAAUUUCCAUAAACUGGUGCAGAUAACACCUCCAUUGGACAAGAAAGUGCUCAAGUACACGCUCUUACAGCUUAUGAGUAUAAAAUCCUAUAAGAUGGCAGCCAAAUCCCAGGCCUCUAAGUAAUGUAUAUCCAUAUCAUCAUGACAGUGCAGGUACAGAG